rnacentral:lncRNA from 1 species
GGUAUCCAAUUACUUUAUUAAUUUUUCUGACUGUUCUUUGGCGAUUACUGUAAUUCUAGAAAUGUAAUCCUUUGGCCUCAAAACUGAUAAGGAUUGCUGCUUUGCUGACAAGUGCACUCUCUCCUUGUAGGCAAAUGGACCAGUAAAUAAGCCUUCGGAAUCCAAAUUACCAUGGAAACUGCCUUGGGUCUUACCUGUUUGCUGAGCCUGCUGAGGCUGCACUUCCCACGCUGGAGGGAGCUGGAGGCCCAGACAAAUUCCCGCGUCCUGCGUCCCCCAUUUCCUCCCAGCCGCCCUUUCUUCAGGAAAUGGAGUGCACGUCCUUUCCCUCGCGCUCACAAAUGUCAGCCUGUGUACCUGGGGGGACACGCCACCGUUGCACAAGCCUCCUGGGUGUGAAUCUGAUGAACACAAAGAGGUCAGACCAAGGUUAAAAACAAGCAGUCGGGGAAAUGUUGCCUUAGUUCUGAGACUAGAGGGGAACUCUGCAGCAGUACCUGGACCACGUGAGUACUAAGUCUGAAUAAAGAAGUAUUUUGUCCGGGAGAGGGGUUUUGGGAUUUUGCGGGGUUUUUCUUCAUACUCUGCUUGGUCCGAACACGCUCUCUGAUAUUUCACGAGUAGCCUGUGAUCACUGACUUGGGCAUUCUCUCCACGAAAGCAAAGCUUCAGCGGCAAUAUCAAGCUGGUCACUUAUCGCCCUUCUGUGACUAGCUUACCCUGACCAAUCUCUUUCAAAGGACAAUACCCCAGGCAUAACAUAUAAUGCAAAUGUAACGUGGCAAUUUGAUUUUCAAGUAGCUCUUCCUAGGGAGCACGGCUAGGCAAGAGCAGCGUGCCAGUCAUCCCUCGUAAAUGUGUUCCAGCAAGCCUCCUCAAGGAUCGCAGAAUAAGUAACCACCUCUACUUUCUGAAAACCAGGUCCUAUCCAGAAAUUGAAACUGCCUCAUUCUCUACAACCUUUAGCUCAUAAGCUUAAUCCUGUGCCCUUCCCUGAGCAGGGUUUGGUGCUCUCAGACUCUCCAAGAGGAGAGAGCCCUUCCUUUCUGGUCUCUCACUCCACUUGAGAUCCCUGGUGGAUUUCUCUUGCUCGCUCGCUCUUGCUCUCACUCUCUCUUUCAAUCUUCCCAACAUCAAACCUGGAGAUGUACGUUAUAUGACACAUUCGUGACCGAGACGAUCAACAGAACUAAAUGGAUGUAUUC